UUAUGAUUUCAGAGAGAAAUAUUUCAGAUACAAUGUUUCUUUUAUUGGUUCUUUAUUAUUAAGCGCUAACAAUUGAUUGUAAACAUCUAAAUUGUUAACGCUUAUAAUCUGGAAAUAUCUCAGGGACACAUCAAUUUCUAAAAAUCACAAAUGUAGUCCGUUCUCCGUCAUCUGUGACUAAUGAUAUUAUCUCUAAGAAAUCUAAUAUUUAACCUAUCUCAAACUAUAAAGGAUAUUUUGUAGAAAAUUUCUGAUGAGAAAUGUCAAAUCCAUUAAAAGAAAUCCAUCUAUGAAGUAAGGAAGAAAAGCCCUUCUACAAAAUUCACACGAAUAAUGUAAUUUUACGAUCUUUCGUUUCCUAUAACAAAGGACAUUACCUGCUUAAACUGUAAGAUUUAUCGACUUCUUUGAAGUCCGUGAUCGAUUUGGUAGAAUUUAAAAGUAUAUUCUCAGUCAUUUGUUGCUAUAAAGUUACAUACGCACUUUCACAGCAAAUACUACAUAAUUUUUCCAUAAGGAUAUGCGCGCAAAGAAUACAUUCAUGCUUCUAUCGAAGAUACAUUGUUAUCAAAUUUGCACAAAACGUGCAUAAUUUAUGCUAAUAACGCGCAUAACAGGAGCACGCACGUGCUUCCUAUUUAUCCGCCCGUAUAUGCCAAGUUACCUGAUCAGAAAAUUGGACACGAAAAUUACGGUCACCGUAAAAGCGCCGACUUUCAAUGUAUUAUGGAAUUUAUAUAUAUGUCGCGGAAUUAAUUCGAUGGAUUCAUGGUAUUAAUUGGUUUGUGGAAUUAAGGUUUACUGCACUGAAUGUUUCAAUCGCUCAAUUUCUUUUAGCAUUUUAUAUCCUAUAUUCAUCUAUUUUCUGUAUUUCUCUGUUGUUGUAUUAUUAUUGAAACUGUUUCACCAAAAUUUAAUUAAACUAUAAUCUGUUAAUUAUUAUCAUAUACUAAUAGAACUUUUUUCAGUACACAGCUUUACAAUUCAUAAAUAUUCUUUCGACAAACGUUACAUCGUUAGAAAUAAACUUGUAAAAACUAAUGUAAUAAAGAUGUCACGAUGUACAGAGAGACGUCGUAUAGUUUGCGGAGUAUAUCAACGCGCGAAUAACAGAGGAUUUAUCGUCUGUAUCGAAUGUAGAUAUUCAUGCGUUCGGCGUAUACUAUGUCCAAACACGUAUAAUCGGGCAUACUCAUAAUUAUACGAGGCGGACUCUCUCGUCCGCGGUCACAUCCAAAGGAAGGAUGUUUGAGAAGCCGCGCCUCGAAACGUUCUCUUAUUUCUUGGCACCUUCGAUUGACAAUUCUCAGGCUAACCGCGAGCGAACGAGCGCGAGCGGUACGAGACUGGAUUAUUUGCUCUAUCUUCGUCGACGACAUCUCUCGUCACCUUCUUUUCGCCAUGAAAACUCUUUUGAACGCGGCUUCCCUCCCUCCUUCUUUGUCUCUUCUCCGCGUGUCGAUGGCAUACGUGUGGCGGCCACACAAGGAUGUGCCGGGAAUGUACAUUGACUAUUAUACGGCCCCUCAUGCUUUUAUAGCCCGUCUGGGUGGCGCACAUACCAUCGCCAUCUUGUUAGCCGCGAUUAAAUAUUGAUGCAAGAAGCGAUAUCCAGCCUGAAGUAGUUUUCUCGAUGGUUCGCGGAACGGCUCGCGAGAAUCUAGGGCGGUAAUUUCCAAUUACGCGUAUCGCUCGCCAACUUUUUCUACGCGCUAAUCCGCGUAGAUCAUGCGCGUUUGUCGAACAUGGCACGACAGAAAUGAUUCACUACCGCGAGCGAACCGUUGCGUAUGUACAAGAUUUAUAAAUAACAUCGCAUUGAAGAAGCUGGUAAACCGCGAUUCCUAACGGCCACAGUGUUAAUUUGUUUCCUCACCGAUGCGUGUCCAUUAUUGUGCAAAUUGUCGACGAGGCAGAUUGCGCAAACGUCUGACAAUGGGGGAUCGCGCGCGCGAGUAUGCGCGGCCUGUCCCCACGGGGUGUUAAACUACCCCAUCGUUAGUGUGCCGAAUCAACCGGAAAUUCCAGCUUUCGUCGCUUCCGUAUUCAUUCAACGGGAGAUGCGCGAUGCGAUGGAAGAGGGAGAAGAGAAACCAAGUCGUUUUCGAAGGAAUUAGCCAAGAAAAGAGAGAGAGAGAGAGAGACACGACAGGACAGCGACCACUGCCAGAGCCUGCAUGUUUCCAGAUAAUUAGAGAUCGACGGCUGUCAAGAUAUUCUAUGAAGAUGCUGCGACAGCUGAAACCGCUAUGCAAAUCUUCGAAGACCUAUCUAUUCAUUUACCGAGCUCUAUCGAUGCUUCCUACAUCGUCGUCUGAUUUUUUUUACAGACAGCGAUGACAUUUGUCUUGGUUAAACUCUGAUGCCAACACCAUAAACCUCUCUCGUUUUUAAUGCAUUAUAUAAGAAUUUUUUAACACGUGGGAAAAAGUUUUCUUAAUCUCUUGGUUUUCUAUAAGAUUCCUUUUAAUGACUGACAAAAAUUUUGGUCAAAUAACUUUAAUCAAAAUAUGUGUUUUCUAGUGUUUUUUUUUUUUUUUUUUUGACGCGCUAAAUCCGUUAGUGAAAAAUUACGACAGGAGAAAAAUAAAGUUGAAGAUGUGUCUUUUGUUAAUUUUAAUUAACAAAGAAAACACAUGUUCUGAUAAGACCUUCUUUUAAGAGACUAAAUUUGUUUUAUUAAUCAGUGUAAUCCAUUUACUUUUAAGUAUAAUUAAAUAUAAUUAUAAAACAAUUUAACGUACAGAAAGGAGAGAGAGAGAGAGAGAGAAUUAAUACCUUUUUUGCAGUAGUAUUUUCAUACUUUCUUCGCUUUUCUAUUAUUUGUGUUACGAUAUUUGGUAUAUUCGUGACGUAUAUCGAGGGAAAAUGAUCAUCUAGCUUGAAAAAGAAAGAGCUGAAGGCGGAGGUAACGAGACGGGAGCGAGACGGGGAAAGAUUACCCCGAGACAACCGUGAGGAGAUCGCUUUCGGGAUCAUUAAUUAUCCUAGAAAGUGCGAGAACGGGCAAGAUAUAUAGGGGGAGGAUGGCAGGGAGGAGGGAGAAAGCUGAG
rnacentral:lncRNA from 1 species